rnacentral:rRNA from 1 species
AAAGCUCAAUUUGAAAUCUGGUACCUUCGGUGCCCGAGUUGUAAUUUGGAGAGGGCAACUUUGGGGCCGUUCCUUGUCUAUGUUCCUUGGAACAGGACGUCAUAGAGGGUGAGAAUCCCGUGUGGCGAGGAGUGCGGUUCUUUGUAAAGUGCCUUCGAAGAGUCGAGUUGUUUGGGAAUGCAGCUCUAAGUGGGUGGUAAAUUCCAUCUAAAGCUAAAUAUUGGCGAGAGACCGAUAGCGAACAAGUACAGUGAUGGAAAGAUGAAAAGAACUUUGAAAAGAGAGUGAAAAAGUACGUGAAAUUGUUGAAAGGGAAGGGCAUUUGAUCAGACAUGGUGUUUUGUGCCCUCUGCUCCUUGUGGGUAGGGGAAUCUCGCAUUUCACUGGGCCAGCAUCAGUUUUGGUGGCAGGAUAAAUCCAUAGGAAUGUAGCUUGCCUCGGUAAGUAUUAUAGCCUGUGGGAAUACUGCCAGCUGGGACUGAGGACUGCGACGUAAGUCAAGGAUGCUGGCAUAAUGGUUAUAUG